CUUGGCGUAAUAGACUAUUCGCUGAGGAAUUCUAGUCUUCGGAUUAGAGCCGGGUUGGGUUAAAGGAAGCUUCUAAUCAGAAUGUCUACAUUUUAAGAUUAGAUCUCAAAUCAGGUAGGACUACCCGCUGAACUUAAGCAUAUCAAUAAGCGGAGGAAAAGAAACUAACAAGGAUUCCCCUAGUAGCGGCGAGCGAAGCGGGAAGAGCUCAAAUUUAUAAUCUGGCACCUUCGGUGUCCGAGUUGUAAUCUCUAGAAAUGUUUUCCGCGUUGGACCGCACACAAGUCUGUUGGAAAACAGCGGCAUAGUGGUGAGACCCCCGUAUAUGGUGCGGACGCCCAGCGCUUUGUGAUACAUUUUCGAAGAGUCGAGUUGUUUGGGAAUGCAGCUCAAAUUGGGUGGUAAAUUCCAUCUAAAGCUAAAUAUUGGCGAGAGACCGAUAGCGAACAAGUACCGUGAGGGAAAGAUGAAAAGCACUUUGGAAAGAGAGUUAACAGUACGUGAAAUUGUUGGAAGGGAAACGCUUGAAGUCAGACUUGCUUGCUGAGCAAUCGGUUUGCAGGCCAGCAUCAGUUUUCCGGGAUGGAUAAUGGUAGAGAGAAGGUAGCAGUUUCGGCUGUGUUAUAGCUCUCUGCUGGAUACAUCUUGGGGGACUGAGGAACGCAGUGUGCCUUUGGCGGGGGUUUCGACCUCU
rnacentral:rRNA from 1 species